rnacentral:sRNA from 1 species
UCUGUGGAGAGCAAGUUCAUGGGGGUGGAAAGGGGAGUGCAGGCUGUCAUCACCGAGACAGCGCCCCCCCCCCCAUCCUGGCGGAUUCUAAGAUAAAGAGACAAUAGUACCACUGGACGACCUAAAAUACGUGCCUCAGAGUCUACCUCUGGGAACCACGAGGGAAGUGACACGGAGCAGAGCGUCGUGCCCCAGGCUCCGCACCUCCCAGGCUACUGAUCCUCCACAGAGUUCCACUCCAGUCCUACUCCUGGUUGUUAAAGCCCCACAUACUGAAGCCCAGGAUCUCUGAACUGUGGGAACUUCAGACAUCGCUGAAUUCCUCCAAUGACUUCGGUCCAGGAUUCAGGCGCCUAAUCUGGGCCUGGCGCUUGCCAGGCCAGCUUCCCUGCCAUUCUUUGCAAGAACUGUGUGUACAGCAUCGGACUUACUUUCCCAGAAGUGCUUCUGGAACCAGAGUCCACACAAAGGGGCUGUUAAAUGUGCUUUCCUCCUUUUGGCCCAGCUGGCUCCUGAGCUUCAGGUCACACAGAGCUCACAGUUCCUAUCGACUUUUCCCAAAGGAUCCCUGGGCUCCUGCAGGAGCCAGCCCGUCCCUGGGGCAGGAAGUUCUGUUUACUCUGUCUUGGAGCCAGGUGCUCAUCCAUAAAAGGGAAACGAGUCCUUUAGGAAAAGGGCUGGGUGCUUGGAAAUUCUUUAAAAGUGAAAGCCCCAAGGCUGCUGUCUGUUGUUCUGUACUUCGGCUUGAUACAGUUUUUCUGUACAUAAAAGCACAGGCCGUGGGGAUUGGCUGAAGGGUACAUCUAAGAAACAACAUCUAAUAAACAAAAAGUGUGGAGAGAA